GCUAUUAAAGAAAAAUUAAUGCGGUGUUAUAUCAGACUUCCGACUGUAGCGUAGGCCAAUGAAAUUGUAUACCGCAAUUCCUUGGUGCAUCUUGUGCCACAGAUUUACGGUGCGCUGGAUGGCACACAUGUGCCUAUUCUUCCCCCGACGGAAGGCUACCGCGAUUACAUUAAUCGCAAAGGGUGGCCAUCUAUUGUUCUCCAGGCCCUUGUUGAUGACAGGUGCAUGAUACGAGACAUUUGCGUUGGCACUCCUGGAAGUGCCCAUGAUGCAGCUGUGUUUGCAGCAUCGGAUCUGAACAGUGAGCCUACCUUUCAACAUCCCUUCUCAGUGCGAUAACAACUGAAUUAGUACUGUAACCUGCUUCCCUUAAGGUUUUUAAUUAAAACUGAAAUUUGAAUUAAUACAAAAUAACGACGUUUAAUCAAAAAAAAACUAAAAUUAAUAUUAAUGAGAGAAUUUCUCAUAUAUGCUAAAACAUCUGCCAUUUAAUAAUAAGAAAAAAAUGUUUAGAUAAUGAAACACACGGUUUAUUAAAUAUUUUGACUGGCACAGUAAAUUACCUUUGCGGUUUUUGUAUUAUUUAGACAUCCUGAGAGACACCCCCAGGCUACAGUUGAUGUGGAGGGAGUUCAGGUACCCCUUUUAGUAGCAGGAGACCCAGCCAAUCCGCUACUGCAUUGGCUCAUCAAAGGAAAUAACGAGUCUCUUCAUCAGACCAUGCAACCGCUCCGCCAUUCUCGUUUUGAUUGCACGUGAUGAAAAUGUGACACAUUUAUUUGCGUUAAAGCCCUUUUUUCCAACAAAAAGUGUUUCCAAUGUAGUUUUUGCGACAUCUGAAGUAUCGAUAUGGAAUUUAUGCGCUAAAGUUAAACGGAAAAAUAUUAUGUCGACAUUUACAACAUUUUAUCGAUAAUUAGCAUUUCCAUCAGCUAUAUCGGUAAAAAAAUUUGAAGCGCUAAAUAUUUUUUCGCAAAAACUCCUUGGAUGGAAACCUGGUUAAUGAA